rnacentral:rRNA from 1 species
AGAGUUUGAUCCUGGCUCAGGACGAACGCUGGCGGCGUGCUUAACACAUGCAAGUCGAGCGGAAAGGCCCUUCGGGGUACUCGAGCGGCGAACGGGUGAGUAACACGUGAGUAACCUGCCCUGGACUUUGGGAUAACCCUCGGAAACGGGGGCUAAUACCGAAUACGACAACCGGCUGCAUGGUCUGGUUGUGGAAAGUUUUUCGGUCUGGGAUGGGCUCGCGGCCUAUCAGCUUGUUGGUGGGGUGAUGGCCUACCAAGGCGACGACGGGUAGCCGGCCUGAGAGGGCGACCGGCCACACUGGGACUGAGACACGGCCCAGACUCCUACGGGAGGCAGCAGUGGGGAAUAUUGCACAAUGGGCGGAAGCCUGAUGCAGCGACGCCGCGUGAGGGAUGACGGCCUUCGGGUUGUAAACCUCUUUCAGCAGGGACGAAGCGCAAGUGACGGUACCUGCAGAAGAAGCGCCGGCCAACUACGUGCCAGCAGCCGCGGUAAGACGUAGGGCGCGAGCGUUGUCCGGAUUUAUUGGGCGUAAAGAGCUCGUAGGCGGCUUGUCGCGUCGACUGUGAAAACCCGCGGCUCAACCGCGGGCCUGCAGCCGAUACGGGCAGGCUAGAGUUCGGUAGGGGAGACUGGAAUUCCUGGUGUAGCGGUGAAAUGCGCAGAUAUCAGGAGGAACACCGAUGGCGAAGGCAGGUCUCUGGGCCGAUACUGACGCUGAGGAGCGAAAGCGUGGGGAGCGAACAGGAUUAGAUACCCUAGUAGUCC